rnacentral:rRNA from 1 species
ACAAUGCGGGACUAUUAGUCUUGCAAUUGGAUUGAGAACAACGUACAACUCUUAUCGAUAAGCCAUUGGAGGGCAAGUCUGGUGCCAGCAGCCGCGGUAAUUCCAGCUCCAAUAGCGUAUAUUAACGUUGUUGCAGUUAAAAAGCUCGUAGUUGAAGUGAGGGAGUGUGUGUUCAUGAGAGCUAGUCUCGAGUGUUCACAACCUCCCCCCUCCAAUCGGUGUAGUGGGGUAUUCAGUUAUUUCACUACUCCUUUGGUCGUUUACUGUGAGAAAAUUAGAGUGUUCAAAGCGGGCGUUUGUUUGAAUAGAUUAGCAUGGAAUAAUGAUUGAAGGCUUUCGUGUUCGAUUUGAUUGGUUUGUUCAUGGAAGCAAGGUUAAAAGGAACAGUUGGGGGUAUUCAUAUUCACUAGUUAGAGGUGAAAUUCUCGGAUUUAUGGAA